AUUACGCCGGCUGGGAGAGGAAUCUGUGGAAUGCAGGCGAAAAAAAUGUUCCAGAUUCCUGGAGCUCACUUGAAGGUGAAACUCCUUCUGAGUUUGCGUGGAGUGGGAGUUAGGAGAACGCAAACUUAUCACAGAGAUGGAAGGCCUUCCUAGCUACUGCGUACACCAAACAACUGACGCCCCCAACCCUGUUCACUUUGAAAAUUAAAAACACCGACUUGCAACCCCCACCCCAAGCAAACAAGGGACUGGUUCAACAUUUCUUUUCCCACACUUCAAGAAAAAAAGUUAAUUUGGUUUUUAUUUUUAAAAAAGUAUAUAUUUAAGUACCACUGAUCAUACCGGGAAAGAAUCAUGAACGAGAUGACCUACCAGGAUGAAAACAAUUCUGCUCGACUUUUUCCAGACGGAGUCAUUACAUCCUAGUUAGUAUUGAUGGCUUGUUUUGGAUAUUGUUUGGAUCUACUGAAGAAGACCAGUGACCCAGCUCAUCCGCUAACUGUCUGAGAAAACCCUUUGGUAAAGUCCAGUGUUAGAAGUGAGAAAACUGAUAAAGCGGUUCUCCUGAAACACUUAUGAAAUUUUGACUAUGGGUGAACAAACUGAAUUUGCAAAGAUUCCAGUGAAUAUAAUACUGAUCGCAAUCAAGAGAAAAGACCUCAAUCUCAAAUGAUUCAGGAUACGGAGGCCAGGGAAAGGGCCUGCAACACAGCUUUAUGGAUAUCUGCCACCUCAGUACACACCAAAGAUUGAAUCUCAGUUCCAGAGACUGGCCAGUGUGCCUCCCUUCCCUGCACCGCAUUCACAGGCCCCACUUACAAACACAUUUAUCAGUGUUACACUUAUUUACAAAUGGUAACUCAAUCCCUUAAUUAGUGCAAUUCUUUUGUUG